rnacentral:rRNA from 1 species
AAACUUUCAACAACGGAUCUCUUGGUUCUCGCAUCGAUGAANAACGCAGCGAAAUGCGAUAAGUAGUGUGAAUUGCAGAAUUCAGUGAAUCAUCGAAUCUUUGAACGCACAUUGCGCCCUCUGGCAUUCCGGAGGGCAUGCCUGUCCGAGCGUCAUU